ensembl:lncRNA
AUGGGUGGGGUCCUUCACGAUACUGUUGGCUUUGCUGGAGCAUCAUGUAAGGAAAAUGUCCGGGAUGGAGGGGAGAGGGGCACCGAUGAUCUUUGCAACUGUGUUCACUGUCGGCUGGAGGGUCUUGCGUUCUGCUGCACUACAGUUUCCAUACCAGACGCAGCUGGUCAGCACGCUCUCUAUGGUUCCUCUGUAGAAUGUGGUGAGGAUGGGUGGAGGGAGACUUGCUCUCAUUCUGAUCUGUUUCUCUCUCAGAUACAGCCCAGGCUGAGAGAAGUAUUGAAGAUCCUGCUCCUGCUAGAGUUGAAUCAAAUCCGAUCAAUGAAACGCUCACCAACAUUGUUCACCGGACCAGAAAGGAUUUCCAACAAUAUUCCCAUCAGCUCACUCUGGAUCUGAAUACAGUGAAUAAAUGGCUCCAUCUUUCUGAGAGGAACA